GAGGAAGCAUUCUUGAAGUGGUGGGUGAUGGAUUGUCUAAACCCUUCUGGGACGUUUUGGGCGGGGGUUUUUCCAGGCAGCUCAUCAAUAAAGACCCCCCUGGAGAGGGGAGGGGGCAGCUGGAAAGCAGCCCCCACCUCCCGGCCUGGAGGAACCAGGCCUGGAAAAGAAUAUUUGCGGCCAAGGGGAAGGGUAUGAGGGAGUGAGAGAGGGCAAAUGGGCCCCGGGCAGGUGGAGACUCCUUGCCAGGAUCCUUCAGCCACGGAACCCUUUUGGGCUUCACAGCAAGGAUGCCGCAGGGUGACUCAUUGGGGGUAGGGAGGAGUGACAGCCGAAAGGCUGGUGGGCUCUCAACACCAGGGUGUCAAGAGAGCAGGAAGUGGAGUCCAUCUGGAUGCACUAGGAGUCUUCUGUUUCUAUAGAUUUCUUUUCGAAGCCCCAAACAAAAUCUGUCCAUCUCUCUCAAAUUGGAGGAGGGAGAUUUAGGGUGGGGAGUAAGGAUGAUCUGGCUCAAGCCAUCCCUUGGCUUUCAUGGGAUCAACACCUAGAACCAAGCCAAGGAAAUGAGGUAGCCUCUGACGCUGAAAAGCCCCCUUCCUUCUCAUGGGCAACAGCCUUCAGAGAUGCCCCACGCAGGGUCGUGUAGGCCGCAGACAUGGACUACUGAAUGCGGAUAGGGAAACGGGCGACUGCUAGCUCCCUGGGAAGACUGGAAAUCUCAAAAGCAAGGCCAGCUUAGAGAGGCAGCUUUGGGGCUUUGUCUAGGAUAGGAGGCCUCAGCUUUCUCAGAGAGCCACGGUCUCCGGUGUUUUCCCGGUCUCUUCUUCUGUCCUAGCACUGGCGAGCGCUGGCUUCCCCCGGUGCUGGACUUGCGGGCCUUUCGUCCUCUGCGCCCCAGGGUCCACCAACGAGCUGUCCUCCUUCCGCGACCAAGGGUCAGGCCGCAUCCCAAAACAGGGAUCCACUGCCAGAUCGGGGUCUGGGGGCAGGGAAGAGAGUAAUGGGGGAUGGAUGACAAGAAGGGCUCCCGAAAGGCAGCUCCUCCAAGGCGGCGUCUGGGCGCCUGAGGUCCCGAGUCAGGCUCUGGGCGCCGAGCACGUUUUAUUUAUUCCCACAGAGGAUGCUGGAGGACAAAAGAAAUAUUUGGACGUCAGCGCUGAUUUAUAUUUUUGGAAGAGCUACGUUUCCUUUUCUGAAGAGAAGCAAGCGCGCCCCAUAUCCUGAGCUCAGCAGGGA
rnacentral:lncRNA from 1 species